CCUACGGGUGGCAGCAGUGGGGAAUAUUGCACAAUGGGGGAAACCCUGAUGCAGCGACGCCGCGUGAGUGAAGAAGUAAUUCGUUACGUAAAGCUCUAUCAGCAGGGAAGAAAAUGACGGUACCUGAGUAAGAAGCCCCGGCUAACUCCGUGCCAGCAGCCGCGGUAAUACGGAGGGUGCAAGCGUUGUCCGGAAUCAUUGGGCGUAAAGAGUUCGUAGGCGGCAUGUAAAGUCAGGUGUUAAAGGCGCAGGCUCAACCUGUGUAUGGCACUUGAUACUUGCAAGCUGGAAUGCGGUAGAGGUAAAGGGAAUUCCUGGUGUAGCGGUGAAAUGCUUAGAUAUCAGGAGGAACAUCGGUGGCGUAAGCGCUUUACUGGGCCGUAAUUGACGCUGAGGAACGAAAGCCAGGGUAGCAAAUGGGAUUAGAUACCCGUGUAGUC
rnacentral:rRNA from 1 species